rnacentral:sRNA from 1 species
GGGGGACUUACAAAAUGGUGCAGAUUGGACUUUCUUGCCUUCUACUUUAAUAUAAAAGAAAGAGGGGCGUUGUUGAUUAUCUGGCUGUUUCCUGUCGAAUUACGGGCACUGUAACCAGGGUUUGGAUUUUGAAGUAGUGGGUGUUCGACUUUAGAGUUGUUUUCCUGGAAGCGCUGAUACUGGACUUAGUGGAGGAGAACGAUGGUAUCAAUGUGUUUCUGGAUGACUGCCUGGACAAGGGAGUUCAGCUUUUGGGAGAUUGACUGGGCUAUGAAGUGUACCUUUCUACUCUGCAGAGGCUGGAAAGGCAAAAAUGAUGGCUAAGGCUUCCUUGCAGCCGCUGAUACAGAAGCCUGAGGGAACACACUCCCCCUACGUCCUUCUCCAACACAGCAGAGCCAGGAAGGACCCGGAUGGAAGUUAGGACAAAGAGGCCCAGAAUUGGCACAGAUACCAACAGACCAUUCGUUGAAGAAGAAAUCCAAAUGGCCAUAAGCUUUAAGAUUCUGGAGGCCAAGAAUUUGACUCCCCCCGGAUCCAUGGUCUGUGGAUACCAAUGUUCCGACUGGAGACGGGGAGCCAGCAAGACCCGGGGCUCCAGGGUCUGCCCAAGGAAGUUGCUCAUGGGAGCAGACCUCUAGAGCAGGAUUUGAGGCCAGGCCAAAGAGGGAGAGAAUUCGCCGACAUCUAUUUAACAUCCCUUAACUGUUGAGAGCAUCCACUGUGUGCCAGACACUUUGGUACACACAGAAAGAAACCCAGAGGAGGAACCCCAGAGAUGAAAGGCCUCCUCCCACUGGCUUGGUUCCUGGCUUGUAGUGUGCCUACUGUGCAAGGAGGCUUGCUGGACCUAAAAUCAAUGAUCGAGAAGGUGACAGGGAAGAACGCCCUGACAAACUACGGCUUCUACGGCUGUUACUGCGGCUGGGGCGGCCGAGGAACCCCCAAGGAUGGCACCGAUUG